rnacentral:rRNA from 1 species
GAUGAACGCUGGCGGCGUGCCUAAUACAUGCAAGUCGAGCGAACAGACCAGGAGUUUGCUCCUCUGACGUUUGCGGCGGACGGGUGAGUAACACGUGGAUACCCCACCUAUCAGACUGGGAUCACUUCGGGAAACCGGAUCUAAUACCGGAUAAUAUCUUGUACCGCAUGGUUCAAUAGUGAAUGACGGUUUUGCUGUCACUUAUAGCUGGUUUCGCGCUGCAUUAGCUAGUUGGUAAGGUAACGGCUUACCAAGGUGACGAUGGGUAGCCGACGUGAGAGGGUGAUCGGCCACACUGGAACUGAGACACGGUCCAGACUCCUAAGGGAGGCAGCAGUAGGGAAUCUUCCGCAAUGGGCGAAAGCCUGACGGAGCAACGCCGCGUGAGUGAUGAAGGUCUUCGGAUCGUAAAACUCUGUUAUUAGGGAAGAACAAAUGUGUAAGUAACUAUGCACGUCGUGACGGUACCUAAUCAGAAAGCCACGGCUAACUACGUG